rnacentral:lncRNA from 1 species
CCCGCAACGAGCACAACUUCUUCUGUAUUCCACCUUUCUCUGAAGCACUUUUAUGUCCGCAAUUGAACAGAAAGUGUAAGUUUUAGCGUAGUAGUACAAUUCUAGUCCUUUGGUUGUAUCUUAUUACAGUUACAUUGUCCCACAAUUCUGACUGAAGGAUAAUUAUCUGACUAAUAUUCUGCAUGCUGUUGAAAGAGUACCAUGCUAGAUCAAU